UCGAAAAGCUCGAGCGCCCAUUUACCGUCAGUCUACAGGUAACCCAGUCUGAAACAGUCUUAAACAGUGUGGCCUGCAGAAUAUAUUUUGUCUAUUUUAUUACCAGUAACAAAAAGGCUCUGUGAGUGUGUGUGAUCACUGCAGUAAGAGCUAUAGUAAGCUGGGUAGCAGAAGGAACCAGAUGGUCUCAGUGAAAGCCCCUAUUGAGAGAGCCUGUCCUCAGGCCCUGGUACAUAUGCUGAAGAGCAGGCUGUGGCAGAGAAAGCCCCUACCUAUUCAUUUCACAGUAGGUAACCAGCUCAAGUUAUGAAAUAUUGAGGGGUUGUGGUGGCCUCGGUUUCCCCAGAAACACUGGGCACUAGGCAAGAAUUCACCCCGGACAGGACACCGAUCCAUUGCAGGGCUUUGGCCACCCCCACCUCAGGCAUAGUCAAUGAUGUAAUGAUGUCUGUGUAGGCACCAGGCCGGCCGAUAGCACCUGCUAAGAGCUGAUACUAGACAGCUGCACCACUUUCAUGUUCUGGCCUUGAGACCCAGACUGAUGUCCUUACCCUGUACCUGUGCAGUUUCACUGAAUUUAGUACCUCAAAUAUACUACACCUAAAUAUUAACUUAAGGGUUUAAUUGAGUUAUUGGUUAUACUCCCUUUUCAGUAAUAUGUCAUGGUGAUUUAAACAUAUUGCCAUGUCCACCCACUGAGCAAAUCUGUCUCUGUUUCCCACUGACUGUCAGCAGCUGUUUCCAAAUCUAACUGUGUUCUCAGAAAAUAUUCAAUUUUGUAGUAUGUGUCUAUAACAUAUAAAACUUAGUUUUACUUUAUAUAUAAAUAGUUAAAGUGUUAAUGCAUGGCUGGGUGUAAUAAAAAGAUCUGUAAAGUGAUUAAGUUCAGUUCACAAAGUCUAAGAGACCGAAGCAGUGGGUUUUAUUUCAGUGUGCUCCAUCAGAGAUUUGUUUAAU